GUUUUCGAGUAACAUCUUACAGUAUGUAUUUAGUGUCCUCAUUGCGGAAAUUUCUUAAAUGUUCUUCAGAAGACAAUGAGGUCAUUCAACCAGGUUUCAUCAGCCCCAGGGGUUGGUCCGGAGAGAUUCCACUUUCACCAAAAGAAAGGCUGGUUCCAGAGAUGACAUUUACACUACAGACAUGAAUGCUCCAGUCUCCUCAUUUUGCAGAUGAGGAAACUCAAGGCCCAGAGAAGCUUAUUGAUCCGAGGUCACAAGGUCACUAAAUGGGACCAGAACUCUGGGCUCCAGUUUCUAGCUGGAUGCUUUUUCUCCACGGAUUUGCCUUCCACACAGACAUCUUUUAAAGCCUAAAAAUUUCUUCUCAUUUGCCUCCUCUUCUACUCCUGUGCUGUUUUUUCCCUUCCCAUUUUCCAUCAACCUGUGCUCUUCCCUCAAAUGAACCCGAAGUGAAAAUAUUAAAGGAAAUACCUGGGAAACAGUCCAGACUCUUAUUUCAGUUAUCUGUUUUAAUAAGAUUAAGAUUUAAAGAAUAAACUUUCAUU